UAUAUACUCCCUCCGCCAGGAAAUACUUGUCAUAGAAAUGGAUGUAUCUAAAUGUAUUUUAAUUUUAGAUACAUCCAUUUUUAUCUAUUUCUCCGACAAGUAUUUUUGGACGGAUGAAGUACGAU
rfam:Hordeum vulgare subsp. vulgare, WGS project CAJW01000000 data, contig: morex_contig_158752